rnacentral:rRNA from 1 species
ACACAUGCAGUCGAACGGAUCCUUCGGGAUUAGUGGCGGACGGGUGAGUAACACGUGGGAACGUGCCCUUUGGUUCGGAACAACUCAGGGAAACUUGAGCUAAUACCGGAUAAGCCUUUCGAGGGAAAGAUUUAUCGCCAUUGGAGCGGCCCGCGUAGGAUUAGCUAGUUGGUGGGGUAAAGGCCCACCAAGGCUACGAUCCUUAGCUGGUCUGAGAGGAUGAUCAGCCACAUUGGGACUGAGACACGGCCCAAACUCCUACGGGAGGCAGCAGUGGGGAAUCUUGCGCAAUGGGCGAAAGCCUGACGCAGCCAUGCCGCGUGAAUGAUGAAGGUCUUAGGAUUGUAAAAUUCUUUCACCGGGGACGAUAAUGACGGUACCCGGAGAAGAAGCCCCGGCUAACUUCGUGCCAGCAGCCGCGGUAAUACGAAGGGGGCUAGCGUUGCUCGGAAUUACUGGGCGUAAAGGGAGCGUAGGCGGAUAGUUUAGUCAGAGGUGAAAGCCCAGGGCUCAACCUUGGAAUUGCCUUUGAUACUGGCUAUCUUGAGUACGGAAGAGGUAUGUGGAACUCCGAGUGUAGAGGUGAAAUUCGUAGAUAUUCGGAAGAACACCAGUGGCGAAGGCGACAUACUGGUCCGUUACUGACGCUGAGGCUCGAAAGCGUGGGGAGCAAACAGGAUUAGAUACCCUGGUAGUCCACGCUGUAAACGAUGAGUGCUAGUUGUCGGCAGGCAUGCCUGUCGGUGACGCAGCU